UACAGAGGUCCCAAGCGUUGUUCGGAUUCAUUGGGCGUAAAGGGUGCGUAGGUGGCGCUGUAAGUCGGGUGUGAAAUUUCGGAGCUUAACUCCGAAACUGCAUUCGAUACUGCGGUGCUUGAGGACUGGAGAGGAGACUGGAAUUCAUGGUGUAGCAGUGAAAUGCGUAGAGAUCAUGAGGAAGACCAGUGGCGAAGGCGAAUCUCUGGACAGUUACUGACACUGAGGCACGAAGGCCAGGGGAGCAAACGGG
rnacentral:rRNA from 1 species